AGCAAUACAUUGCUGGCGACCGGCAAACGGGUGCGGAACACGUACACAACCUUCCUACAAGUGGGGAAUAGCCCAGAGAAAUUUGGAUUAAUACCCCGUAACAUAUAAAGAUGGCAUCAUUUUUAUAUUAUAGCUACGGCGCUUGUUGAUGGGUGUGCGGCUGAUUAAUGGCCCACCAAGCCUGCGAUCAGUAGCUGAUGUGAGAGCAUGAUCAGCCACACGGGCACUGAGACACGGGCCCGACUCCUACGGGAGGCAGCAGUAAGGAAUAUUGGACAAUGGGCGCAAGCCUGAUCCAGCCAUGCCGCGUGAAGGAUUAAGGUCCUCUGGAUUGUAAACUUCUUUUAUAAGGGACGAAAAAAGGGAAUUCUUUCUCACUUGACGGUACCUUAUGAAUAAGCACCGGCUAACUCCGUGCCAGCAGCCGCGGUAAUACGGAGGGUGCAGCGUUAUCCGGAUUCACUGGGUUUAAAGGGUGCGUAGGCGGGUAUUUAAGUCAGUGGUGAAAUCCUAGAGCUUAACUCUAGAACUGCCAUUGAUACUAUUUAUCUUGAAUAUUGUGGAGGUAAGCGGAAUAUGUCAUGUAGCGGUGAAAUGCUUAGAUAUGACAUAGAACACCUAUUGCGAAGGCAGCUUACUACGCAUAUAUUGACGCUGAGGCACGAAAGCGUGGGGAUCAAACAGGAUUAGAUACCCUGGUAGUCCACGCCCUAAACGAUGGAUACUCGACAUACGCGAUACACUGUGUGUGUCUGAGCGAAAAGCAUUAAGUAUCCCACCUGGGAAGUACGACCGCAAGGUUGAAACUCAAAGGAAUUGGCGGGGGUCCGCACAAGCGGUGGAGCAUGU
rnacentral:rRNA from 1 species